AACGCUGGCGGCGUGCUUAACACAUGCAAGUCGAACGGAAAGGCCCUGCUUUUGUGGGGUGCUCGAGUGGCGAACGGGUGAGUAACACGUGAGUAACCUGCCCUUGACUUUGGGAUAACUUCAGGAAACUGGGGCUAAUACCGGAUAGGAGCUCCUGCUGCAUGGUGGGGGUUGGAAAGUUUCGGCGGUUGGGGAUGGACUCGCGGCUUAUCAGCUUGUUGGUGGGGUAGUGGCUUACCAAGGCUUUGACGGGUAGCCGGCCUGAGAGGGUGACCGGCCACAUUGGGACUGAGAUACGGCCCAGACUCCUACGGGAGGCAGCAGUGGGGAAUAUUGCACAAUGGGCGGAAGCCUGAUGCAGCAACGCCGCGUGCGGGAUGACGGCCUUCGGGUUGUAAACCGCUUUCGCCUGUGACGAAGCGUGAGUGACGGUAAUGGGUAAAGAAGCACCGGCUAACUACGUGCCAGCAGCCGCGGUGAUACGUAGGGUGCGAGCGUUGUCCGGAUUUAUUGGGCGUAAAGGGCUCGUAGGUGGUUGAUCGCGUCGGAAGUGUAAUCUUGGGGCUUAACCCUGAGCGUGCUUUCGAUACGGGUUGACUUGAGGAAGGUAGGGGAGAAUGGAAUUCCUGGUGGAGCGGUGGAAUGCGCAGAUAUCAGGAGGAACACCAGUGGCGAAGGCGGUUCUCUGGGCCUUUCCCUGACGCUGAGGAGCGAAAGCGUGGGGAGCGAACAGGCUUAGAUACCCUGGUAGUCCACGCUGUAAACGGUGGGUACUAGGUGUGGGGUCCAUUCCUCGGGUUCCGUGCCGUAGCUAACGCUUUAAGUACCCCGCCUGGGGAGUACGGCCGCAAGGCUAAAACUCAAAGGAAUUGACGGGGCCCCGCACAAGCGGCGGAGCAUGCGGAUUAAUUCGAUGCAACGCGUAGAACCUUACCUGGGUUUGACAUGGAUCGGGAGUGCUCAGAGAUGGGUGUGCCUCUUUUGGGGUCGGUUCACAGGUGGUGCAUGGCUGUCGUCAGCUCGUGUCGUGAGAUGUUGGGUUAAGUCCCGCAACGAGCGCAACCCUUGUUCACUGUUGCCAGCACGUUAUGGUGGGGACUCAGUGGAGACCGCCGGGGUCAACUCGGAGGAAGGUGGGGAUGACGUCAAGUCAUCAUGCCCCUUAUGUCCAGGGCUUCACGCAUGCUACAAUGGCUGGUACAGAGAGUGGCGAGCCUGUGAGGGUGAGCGAAUCUCGGAAAGCCGGUCUCAGUUCGGAUUGGGGUCUGCAACUCGACCUCAUGAAGUCGGAGUCGCUAGUAAUCGCAGAUCAGCAACGCUGCGGUGAAUACGUUCCCGGGGCUUGUACACACCGCCCGUCAAGUCAUGAAAGUUGGUAACACCCGAAGCCGGUGGCCUAACCGUAGUGGGGGAGCCGUCGAAGGUGGGACUGGUGAUUA
rnacentral:rRNA from 1 species